GUUUAUAUUCCGCUGCGAUUGUUGAAGUUUAUAUACAUGUUUAUUGGUUUUGAAUUUUUGUAUGAUGGCGUAGCCUCUAUUUCUUGAAUAAAUGUAUUAUUCGCAUGUUUAAUUGCUUUAAUAGAAAUAGGAGUGUUACAAUAUCCAAUGGGGAUGAGAAAUUGAAUCUCAUCCCCGUCUCCAAUGGGUUCGGGUAAUCCCGCCUCAUCCCCUUCCCCGCAGUGAAUCAAUUUUUUUUUAAUAGAAUAUAAUAUAGCUAUAAAUAGUACAAAAUUCAUGGUGACAUCAUUAGAGACAUCCAUUGCAUGAAUAGAGGCGACUAAUUCAUUUUUGGGAAGUUGUGUUGAACUGGAUGGAAUAUUAGUAGACUAAUUACUUAGACACCCACUCUUACUCUUUCCGGUUGGACAUGAUAACUUGGAUUGUGAAACUGGUGCAUCUGAAUGCAAAAAUUUUAAAUUAUCAAAGAAAGACGGUGAUCACUUGAUUGACCGUUCAAAAUGAUCAUCUUGAGUAGAUUAUCCCUCUUUAGUGAACCUUUGUAUAUAUUUUUUUUGGAGUUGGACACAUUGAGUUUUUUUUUGGGAAAGCAAAUUGACGAAAUUGCAUUUGCAUAUGUACCUUCAUAUUGUAAUCAUAAACGUUAAAUUGGACAUGCAGAGUAUAAUCAUGUGUUAAAAUUCAUAAAAAAAAAAACCAGAAUUUGGUUAUUUCAAAUUUGAGUAAACCACCAAAUUGGUUCAUGUCUUUGUACCAAAUUUUCAAAUUGACCUCUAACUCUAUUAAUAACUCAAAAUGGUCACUUUCUUUGUCAAACGUUUCUCAAAUUGGUCCCUGCCUCUAUUAGUUGUUUUGCAUUUUAAGCCAUUAACGUACCAAAUAAGAUCCAAAAGGCAUUAUUCCAUAAACCAGUAAAUAAUAUCCAAAACACGUUGAAUCGAUAACACUCAAAAUACAAAACAAUUAAUAAAGGCAGAGACCAAUCUAAGAAACAUUUGACAAAGACAGAGACCAUUUUGAAUUAUUAAUAGAGUCAGGGACCAAAUUGAAAAUUUGGUACAAAGACAGUGACCAAUUUGAUGGUUUACUCAUUUCAAAUUCUAUAAUCUGAAAAACCGCAUAACAAAAACAUAUGAGAAACGAAGUCUUCACUUAUUGGACUUCAUUUGGACAUCUUUAAUUUUAGAUAUGAUUUAAAUACCACAUCAAAUCUAAGUUGAUUUGACAAUAAAUCUCAGCACUGCGAUAAACUAAAGAAAGAAAACAAAACUACAUAUGAAAAAUUUCUAAUUAGUAACGACAACAUACAUCUUAAUAAAUUCAAAAAAUAAAAAUAAAUAAACUAUAUCAAAUAAAUCUCAAAAUUGACCAAUGAGUAAAGACAAUUAAAAUAAGUAAAGACAAAAACAAUAAAAAAAAAUACACAUAUGAGGGAUAAUUAUCAAGAUUUUCAAUUAAUACAUAAAGAUAUUAUCAUCUUAUAUUAUUCCUAAAACAAAUUUUAUUACCAUUAUACACUUAUAUUUACUAUUUUGUGAUUUUCGUUGUAUUUCUUUACCAUAUUACAGAUGCAGAGUAUCCAUUGGUAAUGAAUAACUAAUCUCAACACGAAAAUCUUAUUGGUCAUCUUUAAUAGAGUCUCCCUUUCUCAUAUGUAACCCUGAAAUUUGAACAUGCUACUUUAUUUCAGACAUGUGAGUCUAGUUACAGCCAUACCAACAUAUAUAAUGUUGGGUGUCCUCUCCCUAUUACGAAAGUCUAGACAUGAAAUAAAAAAAUUGAAAAAUAAAAGGUUUGUAAAAAAAUAAAUAAUGAACUAUAAUUACAACCAAUAUUUUCAUGUGAGAUCUAUUCGAUGAGUUAAAAGGACAAACAUGAUACAUCAAUAUACCAAAGAGAUAUUUGAUCAUUAUUCUAAAUAUAAUGAACGCUUUCUUGCAACAACAUAACUAUCAAAAACUAUUUUUCCUAAAAAAAAACUAUCAAAAACUAUUUAAGUAAUUUAGAUUUUUUUUUUACCAAAAGUAAUUUAGUUAAAUAUAUUACGAGGGUUUUUACUAUAUAAAGUAAUAAAACACAUUUAUAUUUGUUACAUUGUAAAGUUGAAAAGCAAAAUAUGGCUGACGUUCUCAAAUUUGUGUAUAUUGUGUUCUUAUUUGUUUCUCAAUUUUGUGCUGAACCCGACGACAAUCAAAGUACGCUCUUUAUCAUUUUUUAGAUUAAUGCACAAUAUUUCACCCCUUUUCAAUAAUAUUUAUUUUUCUUAUUUAUGUUACAGAAAAUUGUGUUUCUGACUCCGAUUGUUAUAAAAAAUUUCAUCUUCCCCGUCAUUUUAUUAUGAAGUGCAUUAAAAAUCGAUGUACUUUUGUUUGAAUUUAAGGUAAAAUCUAUUUAUCUAUUAUGUCUUAGCCUUUCAUUCUUUUUGUUCAUCAUAAUAUUAUUAAUCUUACUAUUUCUCUCACACUUUCAUAUAUUUCUAUGAGCUUGCAAUUUCUUUGAUAGCCUUCAGUGGCGGAUCUUAAGUAAAUUUUUUGGGAUGUCAAAUUCCUAUGGAAUAUAUAUUAAAUGGUUUCAAGAAGUAUCAAUAAUUUAUAACCGGCCUAGUGGUAUAAAUCCUUUUAAAGGAGCAAGAGGGUGUGGGUUUGAAUCACUUCAAAAAUGUUUUUUUUUUUUUAAUACAAAUAUAUAAUCGUAGAAGAUUGAAUAUGUAAUAAGAAGACGAAGGUGUUGAACCACACUAAAUCUCAUCCCUUCAAUUUGAUUACCUUAAAGACUUGAAAGCAAUCACCAAAAUGAUUAAUAAGGUCACAUAUUUCUUGAUUUAUCUUGCUAUAUGUUUCCUUUAAUAGUUGAUUUUACACUCUGAAUUUAUUUUCUCAUAUAUGCUCAUUCAUUUCUAUAUCAAAAUAUUCGUCUUUAUCUGUUCCAUUGAUCAUUUCUAUAUUGCUACCACUUCUUAAUUUUUUGAAAUUGAUAUUUGCAGCAAUGCUAAUGUUUCUUUUGUAUAAUGAUAGACUAUUAGCAAAUGUAUUAGAAAAGAAUCGAAAUAAUAAAAUUUAUAAGUUCGUAUCCAUGGUGAAUAGUUAGCUUAACAAUCAUAAAACAAAUAGCGAAAAUGUAAAUAAGUGGUAAAGAAUUAAGGAGAAAAAUGAUGAGGUCUUUCGAAUCCUCUGUUCAUCAGUGAUUGCUAAAUUGCAUCUAUUCUCUAAAAGUGCUCACCUAAUUUAACGAUUAAUUAACAAAAUGGUUCUAAUCAAUCUCUUGACUCAGAACCCUCUUAUAAAGUUACAAUACAUUAAUCUCUUAAGUGCAUCCGUAACCGUUAAAGGUUAUAGUUGUGCGUUAAUUCCUAUAUCAUAACUCAAUAAUUUUCUAUCUCUAACUUAAUAUGUUAAGCUAAACAAAUUUACUACGUCAGAUUUAACUGCUAUGACUAGUAGUCAAUUAAAUUCUAAGAUCAAUUUAUAUAAUUAAGAAGUUAGGUCUAGUAGUCAUACAUAAACAUAUAAAAAUCUAGACAUAAUUACCAGAAUAAACAACAUAGGAAAAAAAUUAAACCUAUAGAGUUUUGUCGUAUCGACGUUGUUCCUCAAUUUCAUUGUUGAAUGUUGAGUUUCCAAGUGCCCAACCGUGAUCACUCAUGUAUCCAAAGCGUGAUAGCCCCUUUUAUCUUCUCCCCAAAACGUCCCCUUGAUAAAACGGGAAUCUCUUCCUUUUAUAUGUGAGGGGCAACGAAGACGGUACCUGAUUGAAAUUUCUUCUCUUUUCCGGUCAGCAUGUCCAUGUUAUCUCCUUGGCCCAUUAUUUAGAAGACAAUAACUUUUCACUUACCAAAUAAUGCAUAAAACCAUGAUUUUGUCUUAUUCUUUUUGAGUAAUAAUAGAUAAUUACUCACUAUUUGACUCAAUAAACAAAAGUGACAAUUUAUUCAAAUCGACUCUAAAUUAAAUACUAAACUAAUAU
rnacentral:lncRNA from 1 species